UUACACCACAUGGAUUAACUCGGCGUGGUAAAACGGGAAUCAAGAAAAUUGGAUGGGGUACAGCUGAACAACAAUUAUGAAAAACAAUAAUGCUGAAUUUGAGCAUCACGACCCUACAUUUACAAUCGAGAAUUAUGGCCUCUGUGGACAGACAGAGCUCUCAGCUUCUCCAGGUUAUUAGGAGCAAAGGUGGAGUCCUCCAUGAAAAAAAGGUUAAAGUUAUGGAUCAGAGUCUGGACAUAUACAUCAGAAGAGAGCGCCUGCUGAAGUGCCUGAUCAUGUAACUUGGUGAAGAUGCGAGCUGUCUGAUCAAAGAAUACCAGGCUGACCAGAGGGAGGAAGCGGAGAGAGAAUUUGAAAAGACCACCAUGGCAUUUUUUGUGAUCCGCGAAAGUGAUGCUCUUAGUUGUGCACUGGACAUUUCCAUUGUCAUUGACGGUGUGGAAGAACUAAAUGAGUUGCCCGAUGUUGCAUGUGCUUGUGCCAUAAUGUUUGGACUCAUUUAUGCACUGAACUUAAAAUAUCCUGAAGGACUCAAAUAUACCUUUGAGGCCUUUCAAAAAAAUAAUCAUGGACAUAGAGAGUAAGCAGAUGAACCUCUCUUCAAAGCUGCAGGAGUACAUUUGUUUCCUUUGACCCAGCUACAGUGUUCUGCUGAUGGUAAAUUUCUUUGAAGAUGUUGGACUGUAUAAAGCCUUUUAUACAAAGUUAACUGUACUACUGUUUACUAAACCUGAUUUGUUUUAUCUUGUUUAAGUUGUGUUCUGUCUAGGGUUAGUUAAAUAGUUUACCCAAAAAUGAAAAUUCUUACUUUGUUUACUCAUCCUUAAGCUAUUCAAGUAUUUAACUUUAGUUAAAUUUGGUUCAGAGACAUUUUAUGAAAAUUUUGAUAAGUUUGAGAUAAUUGAGAAGUUUCAUUUUGGGGUAAACUAUUCCAUGAAGGUUACAAUUAUUUUUUUGUAAUUUUUAUUUUUUAUUUUUACCAUUGGCUAAUUUGGUAGGUAUUUUAUUAAAAGUGUUUGGUUUUACACUGCCCAUUUUAAACCAGUUUUCUAAGUGACUGUUCAUGGAAAGAUUGCAUGUUUCUCGUUGAAACGAUAACUGAUUCUUA